UGUGCACAAGUGUGCUCAAAUGGCUUGUCCCCUGCCUAAAACCCACCAUCUGGAGGUCCUUUCCCCCAUGGAAAGAAGAAUCUAACUUCAUGCCUGAAUGCAGAAGUAAUGCAAAGGCUCGAGGCAAAAUCCUAAGCUAUUUACAUCAGUGGAAUGAAGUUAUACAGCCAACUUCAACCUGAGAGACUUAUUUUAAAAUCUCAAGCAUCGCUAGUAGGACGUGGAUGUUGCCAUAGGCUGAACAAGGGCAAACAUCAUUUUGUUGUCUUUGAUGCUGCCCUUCCUAAGCGCACUGGGAUGUUYUGAAGAGCAAAAGGGGCAUACCCAUCUUCUCUUGUAAUGCUUUGAGAGUUCCUGACAGCUGCAAUAUGGAUCAGAGAGAAGGAGCAGACUCUUAGUUGUUGUAAACUGGCAGAAUUUCGUUGACCUUAUUGAAAUGUACUGAUUCCAAUCAGAGAAGGAGCUGGUGAAAAACAUGAAGGUAAUACAGAAGCAGGAGAAAUGCUUAGCUCUCCUACUGCCUUCCUCACUUUAGUGCUGAUUGCAAAUAGAGAAGGACUCCAAUCCCCACCUUGAGCUGAACUACAUUUGAGAUGUUUCAAGACUUCUGAUCCCAAGGACUAAACAUAUUUAGCUGCUUCCA